rnacentral:rRNA from 1 species
AUACGGAGGGUGCAAGCGUUAAUCGGAAUUACUGGGCGUAAAGCGUUCGUAGGCGGUUAUUUAAGUUAGAUGUGAAAGCCCCGGGCUUAACUUGGGAACUGCAUUUGAAACUGGGUAACUAGAGUUUAGUAGAGGGGAGUGGAAUUUCAGGUGUAGCGGUGAAAUGCGUAGAGAUCUGAAGGAACACCAGUGGCGAAGGCGACUCCCUGGACUAAAACUGACGCUGAGGUACGAAAGCGUGGGUAGCAAACAGGAUUAGAAACCACAGUAGUCC